GAUGAAGAACGCAGCGAAAUGCGAUAAGUAGUGUGAAUUGCAGAAUUCAGUGAAUCAUCGAAUGUUUGAACGCACAUUGCGCCCCUUGGUAUCCCGAGGGGCAUGCCUGUUCGAGCGUCAUUUCACCACUCAAGCCUGGCUUGGUGUUGGGCGACGUCCCCUUUAGGGACGCGCCUCGAAACGCUCGGCGGCGUGGCACCGGCUUUAAGCGUAGCAGAAUCUUUCGCUUUGGAAGUCGGGGCCCCGCCUGCCGGAAUACCUACUCGUAAGGUUGACCUCGGAUCAGGCAGGGAUACCCGCUGAACUUAAGCAUAUCAAUAAGCGGAGGA
rnacentral:misc_RNA from 1 species